CACGUAGGGGGCAAGCGUUGUCCGGAUUUAUUGGGCGGAAAGAGCUCGUAGGCGGUUUGUCGCGUCUGCUGUGAAAACUCAGGGCUUAACUCUGAGCUUGCAGUGGGUACGGGCAGACUAGAGUGCGGUAGGGGAGACUGGAAUUCCUGGUGUAGCGGUGAAAUGCGCAGAUAUCAGGAGGAACACCGGUGGCGAAGGCGGGUCUCUGGGCCGUAACUGACGCUGAGGAGCGAAAGCAUGGGGAGCGAACAGG
rnacentral:rRNA from 1 species